rnacentral:misc_RNA from 2 species
AACGCACAUUGCGCCCUUUGGUAUUCCUUAGGGCAUGCCUGUUCGAGCGUCAUCUAAACCCUCAAGCUCAGCUUGGUGUUGGGCGUCUGUCCCGCCCCCUCGGGCGUGGACUCGCCUCAAAUGCAUUGGCGGCCGGUACCUUGGCUUCGAGCGCAGCAGAAACGCGGACUCGGGACCAUGGGAUCAGCUCCCAGAAGCUAACCACCUUUUUUGACCUCGGAUCAGGUAGGGAUACCCGCUGAACUUAA